rnacentral:rRNA from 1 species
GCUUGCUCCGUGCCAGCAGCCGCGGUAAUACGGAGGGUGCGAGCGUUAAUCGGAAUUACUGGGCGUAAAGCGCGCGUAGGCGGCGUGAUAAGCCGGUUGUGAAAGCCCCGGGCUCAACCUGGGAACGGCAUCCGGAACUGUCAGGCUAGAGUGCAGGAGAGGAAGGUAGAAUUCCCGGUGUAGCGGUGAAAUGCGUAGAGAUCGGGAGGAAUACCAGUGGCGAAGGCGGCCUUCUGGACUGACACUGACGCUGAGGUGCGAAAGCGUGGGUAGCAAACAGGAUUAGAUACCCUGGUAGUCCACGCCGUAAACGAUGUCGACUAGCCGUUGGGGUCCUUGAGACCUUUGUGGCGCAGUUAACGCGAUAAGUCGACCGCCUGGGGAGUACGGCCGCAAGGUUAAAACUCAAAUGAAUUGACGGGGGCCCGCACAAGCGGUGGAGCAUGUGGUUUAAUUCGAUGCAACGCGAAGAACCUUACCUACCCUUGACAUCGUGCGAACUUUCCAGAGAUGGAUUGGUGCCUUCGGGAGCGCACAGACAGGUGCUGCAUGGCUGUCGUCAGCUCGUGUUGUGAAAUGUUGGGUUAAGUCCCGUAACGAGCGCAACCCUUGUCCCUAUUUGCCAGCGAUUCGGUCGGGAACUCUAGGGAGACUGCCGGUGACAAACCGGAGGAAGGUGGGGACGACGUCAAGUCAUCAUGGCCCUUACGGGUAGGGCUACACACGUGCUACAAUGGCCGGUACAAAGGGUUGCGAAUCCGCGAGGUGGAGCUAAUCCCGGAAAGCCGGUCUCAGUCCGGAUCGGAGUCUGCAACUCGACUCCGUGAAGUCGGA